UGUUGAAGAUACUUGAAAAAUGAUUAUAUCACAUAGUACGAAGUUUCACUUUCAUGUCUCCUUUUACAAAUAUCUCAUCACACCGAGGAGCAAACUUAUGAUUAUAAGGGGUGGAUAAACUUUUCUCAAACAUUCUCCUCCAAAUUUAAAUUGCAGAGAGAGAGAGAGAGAGAGAGAGCUCAAAUCAAAUUGCUGGAGUUGGGUUGAAUUAAACUGGAAAAUGAAAUGAGAGGAGGGCAAGUGGGAGCAUUUGAUGGGUUGCCAACCCAUUUGCUUCUCUCGUGUUUCUAUCACUCCUACAACUACCGGUAGCUGAGAGGAGUUGUUGAAGGAAGCUAUUUCUUUCUCCUGCCUUUGGUUUUCUCCCUGCUUUAAUCCCUCUCUCUUCUUCUUUUUUAUUUUGGGUCUUCUGAUUUGAUUCCUGGGCACCAUUUUAUUUCCCUCUUUAGCCCUUCAAUUCCCCUUCAAAGACUGAAUCUUAUAUGGUUUGACCCAAAGAAUCAAAGAAUUGAACAGCAAAUGUGUUGUGGGAAUUCUGAGUUUUGAAUAUUUUUCUCUGGGAGAAUAUUGGGUUUUGUUUACUUUAUGGGUUUUCAAAAGCUGGAGAUAUUCUCUGUGAUCACAUUUGAUGAUGAUCAUUAAAGGUAAAAAUUUAAAGUGGAAGCUCCAAAAUUUGAAUGUGAUUCAAUCACUCAAGCCCCAAAAUUUGAAUCUUUUUCAAACUUCAGAGACCCCUUUUGCUUUCAGACUGGUUAGCAGAUUCUGGGCAGCAGUGAUCAGACUGGUUUUAGAGAGAGAGAGAGAGAGAGAGAGAGAGAGAGAGAGGAGAGAGAGAUUGAUAUGCAUCUUUCAGUAUGGAGGCCAAUAUCUCACUGUGCAGCUCUACUAAUGGAGAAGAAGACCAGGAGGAGGAGAGACAACGGUUCUGGUGUUAUCAGGUGUCCUGGGAUGAAUUACCGUCGGUAGAGGAGGAGUCCGAAACGUAACACUCGCAAAGUAAAUUAUAUGGAUGAUUCUCUCUGUUUUUGAAGGAAAUGGAAGUGAAAGAAAGGAUGCUAGCCUUUGUAUGGUCUGUUCUUUUUUUAUUGUAAUUUUUGUGUUUCUAGUGUUAUAAAGUGUCUUGUAAAAAUUCAAAUACAUAACAAUACAAUAAAUUUAAAA